UACGUAGGGGGCAAGCGUUGUCCGGAAUCAUUGGGCGUAAAGAGCUCGUAGGCGGCUGCUCAAGUCGAAUGUGAAAACUCGAGGCUCAACCUCGAGCCUGCAUUCGAUACUGGGCGGCUAGAGUCUGGUAGGGGGAUCUGGAAUUCCUGGUGUAGCGGUGGAAUGCGCAGAUAUCAGGAGGAACACCGAUGGCGAAGGCAGCUCGCUGGGACGGUACUGACGCUGAGGCGCGAAAGCGUGGGGAGCAAACAGG
rnacentral:rRNA from 1 species